GAUGUCUAGGGGCAGAGUACCCCUUUAAACCUCUUCAGAACCCUAUAUAUAUAUACAUGUAUAUAUUAGUGGCUGAUAUCUGUCAUUAUGGAGCCUGCAUAAGAUGAUCGGUGAUCAGGCUGCACAAAGAAUUCCUUCCUAAAAACCAUACAAUAGAGCUCCGGUUGAUGAUACACAGCAGUCGUCACGUGGCGCUUUCUAUUUGUGUCUGCCUCAGAGACUGGGAUUAUUUAUGUUAAUACGGGAAGUUUCCUCAUUUUACACCAUCUAGGUAACAUCUUGCUGAACUGAGAACAAUGAUCCUCAUGGGAAGGCUUGACAGGGGGCGGGCAAGAACAGAGUAUUACACAGCCGAUGUCCCGGUCUAAUGGCAGAAACCUCUGAUAUCUCUUGAUCUGCUGUUAAACCACUUGUAUGCAGUGAUCAAAGCUGACUGUGGCAUACGAGUGUACACAGAGAAAGGAACACCCAUGCUCAGCAUUAACAGUAUGUCCGAUUUUUAUUUUACCCUUUUCCCCACCAAAAUA